rnacentral:rRNA from 1 species
GACGAACGCUGGCGGCGUGCUUAACACAUGCAAGUCGAACGGAAAGGCCCUGCUUUUGUGGGGUGCUCGAGUGGCGAACGGGUGAGUAACACGUGAGUAACCUGCCCUUGACUUUGGGAUAACUUCAGGAAACUGGGGCUAAUACCGGAUAGGAGCUCCUGCUGCAUGGUGGGGGUUGGAAAGUUUCGGCGGUUGGGGAUGGACUCGCGGCUUAUCAGCUUGUUGGUGGGGUAGUGGCUUACCAAGGCAUUGACGGGUCGCCGGCCUGAGAGGGUGACCGGCCACAUUGGGACUGAGAUACGGCCCAGAGUCCUACGGGGGGCAGCGGUGGAGAAUAUUGCACAAUGGGCGGAAGCCUGAUGCAGCAACGCCGCGUGCGGGAUGACGGCCGUCGGGGUGUAAACCGCUUUCGCCUGUGACGAAGCGUGUGUGACGGUAAUGGGUAAAGAAGCACCGGCUAACUACGUG